AUACCAUGGGGUCAUCAAAACCUUUGAACGACAUGUCAACAUGCCUCGAAACACGAGGGCUUAUUUAUUUACCAAAAUCAACCCAAAUUCAAAUUCCAUGGCCGUGUGAGUCCCUGACUGGCCUCCAGCGGAAUUCCUUUCUUCUCUACGCAAUCCAUCAAAUGCACCUUCCCUUAAUUCCUCUUCUUCAAAUCUAACAGUUAUCAAACAUAACUUCAUGGCUACGAAACGAAAUCAAUCUCAAGCUUUUUAUUAUUGCUUUAUUUCACACUGACUCUCCUCUUGUCUCACUCCCACUCAGCACCACAACCCAUCCGUCGUGACCCCGGCCCCCUCACUGGCACCAUAGCGCUUUUCACGAUGUCCGUGACAGCGUCCGAUCCGAUGUCCGCCCCAUGCUCCACUCUCGCGCCGAGCUGCCAAAUAGUCCGCAAUUCCAGUGUUGCUGAUUGUCUGUUCGUUUAAGUUAAAAAUUUUAAUAUCUACAGCGUUCCGUUGGAGGUGAAUGCAGUACUGAUAGGUUUUAAUGGCGAUGGAGGGUGUAGGUUUAGUGUAGAUUCACAUAAAUUACAAGAUUUUCUGAGGACCAGCUUCUAAACUCACAGACCUUAAUGUUUGGAGACCGGUGAGCCUCUUGACAUUGAGCAUCAAGUCAUUUUUAACGUGUUUCCGGCAAGCUCUCCCUAAAGUUAGCAUUUUUAACGUGUUUCCGGCAAGCUCUCCCUAAAGUUAGCAUUGUUAAGUAAUUGUGUUUUGCACGCUUUAAGUUACAAAGUUGUGUUUGUAAUGUUGUAGUGGAAAGUCUUCAAUACUACCACUGCACCGUUGCAUUUUCAGCUGAGAGUUCAGUUUUGUGGGCUGCAUUUGAGUUUUGCUUGAAGGGACCCAUAGAGAGGAGAUGCAUUACAAUGGGAGAAUUGGAGAAUUUCCUGAGUAUUAGUAGUUUUUUUUACUCAUUAUAUGAUAGGAAUACACGAGUUGUGUUUUUAUUUGUGCUGUUUUGUCAAUAGGCUGGGCAGCCAGAACUGAUUGCACUUGAGAAGGCAUCGACACAGAAUAUGGUUCCUGCUGGGAAUGCAUGAGAGGAAGUGCCAGUAUUUCACAAACUAUAUUCGUACAUAAGAGUACUCUGCCAAAGAUAAUGACCGACCCGUGCCUAAUGCAAUCUUUCUUGUAAAUUUUGAUAAGGUGAGAAUGGACCUUGGAAAUAAGGAAAUUGACCUUGACAAUGUAUGGCAAAUUAACUUAAAGAGUUGUCUGAUGAAGACUUGAGGAAACAAAAGGGAGAGACUCAAUAUAAGUGUGGCUGAGUUCAGACAGAUUACUAGUUCCAGUCGAGUUGGACGUGUGUAAACUGCAGUUGGUGAAUUAUCUUAUGGUUGUGAAUCUCAGGACAAUUGCUACAGAGUAUCUAAAAACCCCCCUCGGUGAACCUGUCAAAGGCAAGAACAAGACAACAGCCAAACUAUGGUUGGAGAAGUUCUACCAAAAGACAACGAACUUGCCAGAACCUUUCCUGCAUGAAUUAGUUGAACGGUUGGAGAAGUACCUAGAUGUAAGUCACCCAUGUCUAGAAUAGCGCCUUGGAAUUCACACUUGCAGAAUUGUUCAGUUGAUUUUAUUUUAGUUUUAAAUAACAGCGCCUUGAGGAACAGCUUGUAGAUCUGUCUUCUUUGUUGUAUGAUCACCGGUUACAAGAAGCACAUUUGAACAGUACAGAAGUUCUUCAAAGCGCUCUCUUCACCCAUCAGCAAGCUAGCUUUGACUUAUUUAAUCCUCCAUUAGAUGAUUAUUUGUCUUUGGUUAUUCUCCUCCAAACUGUAUAUAUGCUUUAAUUUGACUAUUUCAGUGGGUUAAGUUUUAA